CUUUUGCAGGUUUGCUCAAAGGACGGAGGAGAGGGUUCAAGUACAGGAGUGAACUCAAAUAUUAAAUGGACGGGAUGGUCUCCUGCACAACUAAAAACAAAAAAACAUCCUCUCCUAAAUCAAAAAAAGGCAAAGGGGCACUGUACCAAGGACCAAUUAAACGUGAAAGUGGAGAAUGUGGUGAACUCACGUCAUAACCUUGUAGAAUUGCAGAAGAAGUACCUGGAGAACGAGGAGCUUCGUCGAGUUGAAGAACAUGAAUUAAAAAUGGCAAUUCAGAAACAGAAAUUUGCCGCUUUGGAUUUAGAAAUCGAGAGGGAACAGAAACUGUAUUUAAAAAAAAUGGAGUUACUAGAAUGUGAAUUAUCGAUUAAAAAAAAAACACUAGAGUUGCUAGAAAAAUAAAA